rnacentral:lncRNA from 1 species
CACCGGGAAUGCAUCUUUGAACAUCGUAUUGCAUUCGUGUUUCCAUCGUUUCCAUCGGGCAGUUUUGACAUUACGAUGUCUACACGAAUGAAUCACGAAGCUACCCGAAGGUCUUACGAUGGCAACACGACUUCGUGAAGACCUCGUAAUCCCAUCGUGUUGCCAUCGAAUAAAAGUACGAAGGCGACAAGAUGGAACUACGACGGCAAUAAAUCCAGC